rnacentral:rRNA from 1 species
CCUACGGGCGGCAGCAGUGAGGAAUAAUGGUCAAUGGACGAGAGUCUGAACCAGCCAAGUAGCGUGAAGGAUGACAGCCCUAUGGGUUGUAAACUUCUGUUAUAAAGGAAUAAAACGAGGCACGUGUGCCUUUUUGCAUGUACGUUAUGAAUAAGGAUCGGCUAACUCCGUGCCAGCAGCCGCGGUAAUACGGAGGAUCCGAGCGUUAUCCGGAUUUAUGGGGUUGAAAGGGAGCGGAGAGGGGUUGUUAAGUCAGUUGUGAAAGUUUGCGGCUCCACCGUAAAAUUGCAAUUGAUACUGGCAUUCUUGAGUACAGUUGCGGUAGCCGUAAUUCGUGGUGUAGC